rnacentral:lncRNA from 1 species
GAUUCUACUGACAAACUUGCCAGAAUUAGGCCUCUAUUAGACUCUGUUCUUGAAAGAUGUCGAGUAGCUAAUAAACGUUUACUCUUCCUUAUUAUCCAUGUCAUGAUGAUGUAUGCGUGACUGGACAUUAAGCAGCAAACAAUCAAUCAACUAUGUUUUAAUACGAUUAUUUUAGUUUAAAUUAAAAAUGUGUUAUCCUUGCAAUUGAUCCUUUAUAAAUCAAAACAUUUACUUAAUAUAUAUAGAAUACAUGUAUAAAUGAGAUACCUUUAGCACAUAAAACAUGUACUCACAGAAUAUAUUACUUGUUGUAUACCAGUUAUUUUAGAGUGAUAUUACUGAAAGGAGGCAAAAAGAUGGUACUGUUAAACAAAUCACAAGACCACGGAUCAUUACUAAUUACCAGGCAAACUUUCAUGGUGUUGAUAUUAAUAUUUGUGACCAACUUCAGUCAAAAUAUCCUGUUGGAAGAAGCUCCAAAAAGUGGUGGAAAUUUCUUUUCUUCUUUCUCACUAAUUUGUGUGUAAUAAAUGGCUUUGUAUUGUAUGACCAUUUCAACCAAGUAAAACAAAAAGAAAAAAAGAUACACCCAACUUGAUUUAAGGAUUAAUUUGGUGUCACAUUUAAUCAAUGGCUACUCUUUCACUAAACGGAGAGCCCCUGCUCUAGUUGUUUACGCAAUGAACAU